AAUAACCAAAUAUGAUACUUGGCUAAGCGUCAAUUGGUGAUUUUCUUACAUCUCCUCCUCCCGAGCCCAAGUAUCAUAUACGCCCCCAAAAUAAAGAGCCUUGAAUACUAGAAGAAAAGCACCUAGACCUAACAAGAUUAAAUGAAUACCUAAAAUGUGGUCAUUUAUUUCUAUCUUUCCA
rnacentral:antisense_RNA from 2 species